rnacentral:rRNA from 1 species
UACGGGGGGGGUAAGCGUUGUUCGGAAUUACUGGGCGUAAAGGGCUCGUAGGCGGCCAACUAAGUCGGACGUGAAAUCCCUCAGCUUAACUGGGGAACUGCGUCCGAUACUGGAUGGCUUGGAUUUGGGAGAGGGAUGCGGAAUUCCAGGUGUAGCGGUGAAAUGCGUAGAUAUCCGGAAGAACACCGGUGGCGAAGGCGGCCUGCUGGGCAGUGGCUGACGCUGAGGCGCGACAGCGUGGGGAGCAAACAGG